ensembl:piRNA 21ur-17 ncRNA
CUGUUCGUGUAAUGAAGUUUG